UACGGGGGGGGCAAGCGUUGUUCGGAAUUACUGGGCGUAAAGGGCUCGUAGGUGGCCAACUAAGUCAGACGUGAAAUCCCUCAGCUUAACUGGGGAACUGCGUCUGAUACUGGAUGGCUUGAAUUCGGGAGAGGGAUGCAGAAUUCCAGGUGUAGCGGUGAAAUGCGUAGAUAUCUGGAGGAAUACCGGUGGCGAAGGCGGCAUCCUGGACCGACAUUGACGCUGAGGAGCGAAAGCUAGGGGAGCAAACGGG
rnacentral:rRNA from 1 species